rnacentral:rRNA from 1 species
AUGAACGCUAGCGGCAGGCUUAAUACAUGCAAGUCGUGGGGCAGCAUGAGUAGCAAUACUUGAUGGCGACCGGCAAACGGGUGAGGAACACGUACACAACCUUCCUUCAAGCGGGGAAUAGCCCAGAGAAAUUUGGAUUAAUACCCCAUAAUAUAUUUGAUAAGGCAUCUUAUUAAUAUUAAAGCUUCGGCACUUGAUGAUGGGUGUGCGGCUGAUCAGAUAGUUGGCGGGGUAACGGCCCACCAAGUCUACGAUCAGUAGCUGAUGUGAGAGCAUGAUCAGCCACACGGGCACUGAGACACGGGCCCGACUCCUACGGGAGGCAGCAGUAAGGAAUAUUGGACAAUGGACGAAAGUCUGAUCCAGCCAUGCCGCGUGAAGGAUUAAGGUCCUCUGGAUUGUAAACUUCUUUUAUAUGGGACGAAAUAAGGGCAUUCUUGUUCACUUGACGGUACCAUAUGAAUAAGCACCGGCUAACUCCGUG